rnacentral:rRNA from 1 species
UUAAGCGACUAAGCGUACACGGUGGAUGCCCUGGCAGUCAGAGGCGAUGAAGGACGUGCUAAUCUGCGAAAAGCGUCGGUAAGGUGAUAUGAACCGUUAUAGCCGGCGAUGUCCGAAUGGGGAAACCCAGUGCAAUUCGUUGCACUAUCGUUAACUGAAUACAUAGGUUAACGAGGCGAACCGGGGGAACUGAAACAUCUAAGUACCCCGAGGAAAAGAAAUCAACCGAGAUUCCCCCAGUAGCGGCGAGCGAACGGGGAGCAGCCCAGAGUCUGAAUCAGCUUGUGUGUUAGUGGAACGGUCUGGAAAGUCCGACGGUACAGGGUGAUAGUCCCGUACACCAAAAUGCACAGGUUGUGAACUCGAAGAGUAGGGCGGGACACGUGGUAUCCUGUCUGAAUAUGGGGGGACCAUCCUCCAAGGCUAAAUACUCCUGACUGACCGAUAGUGAACCAGUACCGUGAGGGAAAGGCGAAAAGAACCCCGGCGAGGGGAGUGAAAAAGAACCUGAAACCGUGUACGUACAAGCAGUGGGAGCACCUUCGGGUGUGACUGCGUACCUUUUGUAUAAUGGGUCAGCGACUUAUAUUCUGUAGCAAGGUUAACCGUAUAGGGGAGCCGCAGGGAAACCGAGUCUUAACUGGGCGUUAAGUUGCAGGGUAUAGACCCGAAACCCGGUGAUCUAGCCAUGGGCAGGUUGAAGGUUGGGUAACACUAACUGGAGGACCGAACCGACUAAUGUUGAAAAAUUAGCGGAUGACUUGUGGCUGGGGGUGAAAGGCCAAUCAAACCGGGAGAUAGCUGGUUCUCCCCGAAAGCUAUUUAGGUAGCGCCUCGUGAACUCAUCUUCGGGGGUAGAGCACUGUUUCGGCUAGGGGGUCAUCCCGACUUACCAACCCGAUGCAAACUACGAAUACCGAAGAAUGUUAUCACGGGAGACACACGGCGGGUGCUAACGUCCGUCGUGAAGAGGGAAACAACCCAGACCGCCAGCUAAGGUCCCAAAGUCAUGGUUAAGUGGGAAACGAUGUGGGAAGGCACAGACAGCCAGGAUGUUGGCUUAGAAGCAGCCAUCAUUUAAAGAAAGCGUAAUAGCUCACUGGUCGAGUCGGCCUGCGCGGAAGAUGUAACGGGGCUAAACCAUGCACCGAAGCUGCGGCAGCGACACUUAUGUGUUGUUGGGUAGGGGAGCGUUCUGUAAGCCUGCGAAGGUGGCCUGUGAGGGCUGCUGGAGGUAUCAGAAGUGCGAAUGCUGACAUAAGUAACGAUAAAGCGGGUGAAAAGCCCGCUCGCCGGAAGACCAAGGGUUCCUGUCCAACGUUAAUCGGGGCAGGGUGAGUCGACCCCUAAGGCGAGGCCGAAAGGCGUAGUCGAUGGGAAACAGGUUAAUAUUCCUGUACUUGGUGUUACUGCGAAGGGGGGACGGAGAAGGCUAUGUUAGCCGGGCGACGGUUGUCCCGGUUUAAGCAUGUAGGCGGAGGUUCCAGGUAAAUCCGGUACCUUUUAACGCUGAGGUGUGAUGACGAGGCACUACGGUGCUGAAGUAACAAAUGCCCUGCUUCCAGGAAAAGCCUCUAAGCAUCAGGUAACAUUAAAUCGUACCCCAAACCGACACAGGUGGUCAGGUAGAGAAUACCAAGGCGCUUGAGAGAACUCGGGUGAAGGAACUAGGCAAAAUGGUGCCGUAACUUCGGGAGAAGGCACGCUGGUGUGUAGGUGAAGUCCCUGCGGAUGGAGCUGAGACCAGUCGAAGAUACCAGCUGGCUGCAACUGUUUAUUAAAAACACAGCACUGUGCAAACACGAAAGUGGACGUAUACGGUGUGACGCCUGCCCGGUGCCGGAAGGUUAAUUGAUGGGGUUAUCCGUAAGGAGAAGCUCUUGAUCGAAGCCCCGGUAAACGGCGGCCGUAACUAUAACGGUCCUAAGGUAGCGAAAUUCCUUGUCGGGUAAGUUCCGACCUGCACGAAUGGCGUAAUGAUGGCCAGGCUGUCUCCACCCGAGACUCAGUGAAAUUGAACUCGCUGUGAAGAUGCAGUGUACCCGCGGCAAGACGGAAAGACCCCGUGAACCUUUACUAUAGCUUGACACUGAACAUUGAGCCUUGAUGUGUAGGAUAGGUGGGAGGCUUUGAAGCGUGGACGCCAGUCUGCGUGGAGCCAACCUUGAAAUACCACCCUUUAAUGUUUGAUGUUCUAACGUUGGCCCCUAAUCGGGGUUGCGGACAGUGUCUGGUGGGUAGUUUGACUGGGGCGGUCUCCUCCCAAAGAGUAACGGAGGAGCACGAAGGUUAGCUAAUCCUGGUCGGACAUCAGGAGGUUAGUGCAAUGGCAUAAGCUAGCUUGACUGCGAGCGUGACGGCGCGAGCAGGUGCGAAAGCAGGUCAUAGUGAUCCGGUGGUUCUGAAUGGAAGGGCCAUCGCUCAACGGAUAAAAGGUACUCCGGGGAUAACAGGCUGAUACCGCCCAAGAGUUCAUAUCGACGGCGGUGUUUGGCACCUCGAUGUCGGCUCAUCACAUCCUGGGGCUGAAGUAGGUCCCAAGGGUAUGGCUGUUCGCCAUUUAAAGUGGUACGCGAGCUGGGUUUAGAACGUCGUGAGACAGUUCGGUCCCUAUCUGCCGUGGGCGCUGGAGAAUUGAGGGGGGCUGCUCCUAGUACGAGAGGACCGGAGUGGACGCAUCACUGGUGUUCGGGUUGUCAUGCCAAUGGCACUGCCCGGUAGCUAAAUGCGGAAGAGAUAAGUGCUGAAAGCAUCUAAGCACGAAACUUGCCCCGAGAUGAGUUCUCCCUGAGACUUUAAGUCUCCUGAAGGAACGUUGAAGACGACGACGUUGAUAGGCCGGGUGUGUAAGCGCAGCGAUGCGUUGAGCUAACCGGUACUAAUGAACCGUGAGGCUUAACCU